AAUCGCCUACCGCACAAUCGGCUUCUAAUAGAGUCGCAUAUCGUACAUACAAAAAUAAAACAUACACAAAUAAAUAAACAUGCACCAUUUCAUAAACAUACACCAUUACAUGCACAUUAACACGUCACACUAAUCACAUCUUAAUUACGUACUAAUCGCGUAAAUACUUAUUAAUUCAAUUAUAGCUAUUAAUGUGAAUCCUAAUGGUGAAUUUAUGAGUGGUGUAAUAAAUAUAGUUUAAAUAUAUUUUAACAUCAUUAAUAAAAAUAAAUAAUAUUUAUUGUCUUUUAAUACUAAUAAAUAAAUUAAUACCUUUUAUCUCUCUUUAUUUCUAACUCAAAUUAUUGAACAUUGCAAAAAUGAAUAUAAUAUUCUAAAAAUCCUUAUAAACUACUAAUUGAACAUUUUCUAACACUAGCGAGGUUAAUUGACAUAAACUAGUACUCUAACAAUUUUAAGUUCUAAAUCUGCGAACAUUUUUAUUUGACUAGCAAAAACCUAUUUUUCCAUCUACUAAUGAUAUUUUCUCCCUUCUUUCUAUAAAGAAAAUGUUAACAAAAUAAUUAACUAAAUCAUCUAGAAAUCCUAUAUUAUUCAUAUAACAUGAGAUCUAUAUCAAUUUCUAAAAACCAUUAAAAUGCACUUAUAACUAUAAUUCUCCAAGUAGUUUCUAAAAUUUAUCGUGACCAAAUUUGACUAUAAAUUCUUAUCUAGUAUUUUUAUCACCAACGUGUGACUAUUAAAUCUACGUCAUAUUUCUCUAAACCAAAAUUCCACACCACGACUAACAUGAAAUGUAACGGUGCACUAAAUAAUCGCAUAUCUCCAACAAAUUCCAUACCGCACACAUAUACAUAAAUCAGAAUCACAUGUGUUCAUAUUACAAUAAACCAAAAUAUACAACUCAUGAAUCGAAUCAAAAAGUACUUUUAUAAAAUACACAAAUUAAAUUUGGGUCGUCAUCAACCUUAGGUUCGCGUGUGUGACGGGGAUGGAUCGACGGGUUUCGAUCGGGUGGAGAGCGAGGCUCGACUACGGACGGCGAAUGCGUGGCUCCGGUGAACUCCGGCGAUGAACGACACACUCCGGCGAACACCACGGGCUCCGGUGACGAACGGCAACGAACGACGAGCGGCACUAGCGAUGAGCGAGGAGCACUAGAGAAAGAGACGAGCUUGGGUAGGAGAGUAUGGAGAGGGUCUCUGCUGCCUUUUAUAGAGAGAGGGAGGGGAGAGGAGAGGUCACUGCCAGAGAGAGCUUCAAUGGGGCGUUGCUGUCCUUCAUGGCCAUCACUAGCUACGUUACCAGAGAAUAACGAGGGAGAGAGUAAUGGAGAGGAGGGAGAAAUGGAAGAAAUAAAUCUCCAUAACGCAAGAAACAGUCGCGGCUCGUCGGGCUCGGACGGAUGGCGCGCUGCUCGGAAACGGGCGCGGGGAGGCCGGCGUCGCGUGCGUUGGGCUCGGUGUCGCUCACGCUGGGGCUCGCGCGCUGGUUGCUCGGCGUCGCUGCUUGCGUGCAGGGCCGGCUAGUGUAGGCUUAGUUUUUUUUUUUAAAUUCCGAAAUACCUUUCUAUAUAGCUCAAAAAUUUAUAAAACUUCACCAAAAUUAUUUAUCAAUAACAUAUUCAUUUUUACACUAAUAAUCAUUAUAUUAUAUAAUUAUUAUAUUAACUACUAGGAUCUCUUUUUACGAAUACCUGAUAAUAAACAUCCGAUAAUCAAUCAAGCGCACACAACGAAAAUUGAUUCAAAAUGCAAAUAAAUAAUUAAACACUUAAAAAAAGUUAUGACCCUAAUUAAUAUAAUAACUAAAUUCAUUAUUUUUAUUUGAUGGCUUUUGUGGUGUUACAGGAGGCCAUCAGUCGCAAUUGGGAAUGAAGUGCAAGCAUGCCUAAUGGCCUUCAACACCAUAUGCACCUACAUUGGUACUAGAGAUUUAGUUCAAGAGCACAUUGUUUUCAAUGUAUGGCCUCUUGCAAAUGAAUGGGAAAUGAGGAAGGAAGCUGCCGCUGGCUCCAGCCAAAGGGGCUUGGUUUAUCUCAAGUACACCUUCCGGUACAGAAGCCAAUUUGAUGAGCCAAAUGAUGACUGGCUAGACGCUAUAGAGGCAACGAGUGAUGAGCUACUUGGAGCCUACUCGAGGACAGAAGACGAAGACAUGAUAGUUGCCUUCGGCGCUUGUGGGAAAAAGAGGCUGAACAGGGUCUUUGAUGUUAUUGGGUUUGUCUACUGUCACACCUGGAUUUAAGGGAUAAAGUCGGGUACGUCUCAUAUGUGCGCCAAGGAAGAACAACACAUAUAAUAACAGAGUGUAUAGAGACAAAUGUCACAAUAUCAUGAAAGUGAUUAUUACAUAGCGGAAUUGUUACAAAAAUAAAUUAUAAAUAUAAAACGAACUAAGAGUCCAUCCAAGGCACCAUAAAGCUGACUGAGAGACGCCACCUAGAUCAAAUCAUACUCCUCGUUGUACGGCUCCUAAUGGACGCCUUGUUCUUCUCCUAUGGGGGUUAUAUAUCGCAAGUGUGAGCUCACAAAAGAUCAUAGCUCAACAAGUUAUGGGGAAUAAUGUGCAAGAAGUCACCAAAGGUGGAGUUCAUAUGAUGUGUAAGGCUGAUCAACAAUAGGGCUUAAAGCUGAGCAUUGCUUUUAAUAAGUUGGUCAAAUUUUAUUAACAAUUACUGGAUGUAAGUAAAUACCAAACCAUAAUAAUAAUAGAACAAACUUAAUAAUAAAUCCCAUGCAAUGAAAAUAACAAAUUGAAUUUAGUUCCAUAAUUUAAUCAUGCGAGAGUCCUGAGCUGCUCAUGACCGCGAGCACGGCUAGUAUACCAGUUUUACACUCUGCAGAGGUUGUACCCUGUACCCACAAGUCAUGUUACCCAUCUGCCAAGGGGUCAUGAAUCCCAUACAUCUCUACCAAGGAGGCGAGGCAGGGUAACACUACGAGGCCUUUACAAAGUUCCACUAGCUUCAGAAAACCUGCUAUAGUUCUAGGAAGAGUAAUGCAUGAAUCCCCCGUCUGACCUCCAUCGAAGCAAAAUCAACCCGGGAACCUCCCUACACGCCUACUCCCCUACUGCCCUUGCCCCUAUCGGGUAAGGUAGUCCUCCACUAGCUUUCCUAGUUAGUCAGCUAAGGGCGUCCCAUUCCACCCUUGUGGUGGCACGUGUUUCUCAAGUUAAGCUCCAUGGUCCAAUUAAAAAAUAAUGGUCUUGACAUGAACAAUAAAUAAAAUUACAGUAUAAUUGGAACAUGAUCAUAAUGUGAUAUUAAACCCAAAACCAUAUAGACCAAUAGCAAAACUACCCAAAUAAUUCAGGGGUGAACAAGGUAAAAAGAUAACCAGACUAGGCUGGCCUAUUGGGUCCCAUCAAAAUUAAGCCUAUGCAUGGAUAAGUGAUAAUAAAGAACAUUAUUGGGUAACAAAAGUGGUCAAGGGCAUAAAUUGCCUUCAAUGAGCUCCUGCUCAGCAACUUCUACAUGCUGAACACCCGGAUCCUUGGCCACUGCUCUUCUACUCGCCACAAUACAAUCAAGCAUAGUAUAAAAGGAGAAAUUAACAUCACACCAAACAUGUAUACAAAAUACAUAUUAAUAAUCUACACAUUAAAAUAAGAUCAUAGGAAAAACAAUCACUAAAUUCGGAGUUACAGAUAUUUAGUUAUGAAUUUCCGAAGGUUUUAUGUAUUUGAUACAAUAUUAAUUAAGAGAUCAAUUUUAAUACAGUUUUCAUGUCAAAAUAGAGAUGCUAUGUGAUGAACAAUAUUAUUAGAAAAUUACGGGAACUGGAAUGGACUAAAAAGAAAUUAAAAUGAAUUUUAUAUGCAUUUUACAAGUUUCUAGAAUUAUUUUGUAUUAAAAAUCAAUUUCUAUAAUUAAUUCUAUAAUUUCUCUGGUUUCUGGACUGGCGCAUAAAUACAGAUAAGUACAGGGGUUAAUGCGCGAAAAGUCCUAAGACUUAGUGUGCCUGACUCUGGACCGCGGGUUGAUUCCCUAAAAACUAAGGGGCCAAUUUGUUAGCUCGACCGACUAAAAGGGUAUCUACGGAUCUGGGCUACCAGAUCUAAAACCUGUGGCCAGGAUUAGAUCGGGUAUACAAUGAAACGGUAGCGGCGCCCACCGUUCGAUUAUUGGUCAACGACCUAGGUUUAACACUCCUAGCAUGGCCCCAGAGACGCCCGAUCGAGCUCCGAGGGCGCGAAUGCAACAGCCCAAAGGGGUACGCCAUACUCUAAUCCUACUCGUACGUGUGCAAUCCGACGGCUACGGUAGCGUCUUCUUCCUUAGCGCCAGACGACGGUCACGACCGUGCGGCAAUAGCGGCGACAUUACCGGUGUAAGCCGAUUCUGGCCCAUGGUGCCCUACCGAGCUUCUAAUCCGACUCCAGACGAAGCGAAAGAUCAUACUAACAUAUGAAUGGGACCUUACCAUAAUAGAAGUGGUGAGGUGCUCGUCGAUCCGCCGAAACGAGUCCGCGGCGACGCUGAAUUCCGAUGAGAAAUUCUCGGUCAAAUCCGGCUUCCCGGUUCCCAUGGCUUCCUCGACUCGUUACCCACUUCUCCCGCGCACACUCCCCUGUUCGCCAAUCGUCCCUGUGAAUGAUGAAUCGCGCAGCGGCACAACCCUCCCCUGCUCUAGUUCCUGGCGUUAGGCAAAACCGUCCUCGGACGAUGGGGCGCAUGAGCUUAUAUCAUCCCUGAGUCCGCGAGAUGACCGACAGCCCAUGAACGGCAUACCAC
rnacentral:lncRNA from 1 species